AAAACAUCGCCUCCUGCAACAUAACCAAGUAUAGGAGGUCCAGCCUGCCCAGUGACCACAAGUUCAACGGCCGCGGUAUUUUGACCGUGCAAAGGUAGCGCAAUCACUUGUCUUUUAAAUAGAGACCUGUAUGAAUGGCUAAACGAGGGCUUAACUGUCUCCCCUUUCAAGUCAGUGAAAUUGAUCUACCCGUGCAGAAGCGGGUAUAAUAAUACAAGACGAGAAGACCCUUUGGAGCUUAAGGUACAAAACUCAACCACGUCAAGCAACUUAAUAAAAAGCAAAAACCUUGUGGAAUAUGAUAUUUUACCUUCGGUUGGGGCGACCACGGAGGAAAGAAAAGCCUCCAAGUGGACUGGGAAAACUUCCUAAAGCCAAGAGAGACAUCUCCAAGCCACAGAACAUCUGACCAAGCAUGAUCCGGCAAUAAAGCCGAUCAACGAACCAAGUUACCCUAGGGAUAACAGCGCAAUCCUCUCCCAGAGUCCAUAUCGACGAGGGGGUUUACGACCUCGAUGUUGGAUCAGGACAUCCUAAUGGUGCAGCCGCUAUUAAGGGUUCGUUUGUUCAACGAUUAAAGUCCUACGUGA
rnacentral:rRNA from 1 species